rnacentral:rRNA from 1 species
AACGAACGCUGGCAGCAGGCUUAACACAUGCAAGUCGAACGGGCACCUUCGGGUGUCAGUGGCAGACGGGUGAGUAACGCGUGGGAACGUACCCUUCGGUUCGGAAUAACCCAGGGAAACUUGGGCUAACACCGGAUACGUCCGCAAGGAGAAAGAUUAUCGCCGAAGGAUCGGCCCGCGUCGGAUUAGCUAGUUGGUGGGGUAAUGGCCCACCAAGGCGACGAUCCGUAGCUGGUCUGAGAGGAUGAUCAGCCACACUGGGACUGAGACACGGCCCAGACUCCUACGGGAGGCAGCAGUGGGGAAUAUUGGACAAUGGGCGAAAGCCUGAUCCAGCCAUGCCGCGUGAGUGAAGAAGGCCUUAGGGUUGUAAAGCU